UACGGAGGGGGCUAGCGUUGUUCGGAAUUACUGGGCGUAAAGCGCACGUAGGCGGCUUGGUAAGUUAGAGGUGAAAGCCCGGGGCUCAACCCCGGAAUUGCCUUUAAGACUGCUUCGCUUGAACGUCGGAGAGGUGAGUGGAAUUCCGAGUGUAGAGGUGAAAUUCGUAGAUAUUCGGAAGAACACCAGUGGCGAAGGCGGCUCACUGGACGACUGUUGACGCUGAGGUGCGAAAGCGUGGGGAGCAAACAGG
rnacentral:rRNA from 1 species